AAGACCUUGCGCUUUUGGAGCGGCCGAUGUCUGAUUAGCUUGCUGGUGAGGUAAAGGCUUACCAAGGCUUCGAUCAGUAGCUGGUCUGAGAGGACGGCCAGCCACACUGGGACUGAGACACGGCCCAGACUCCUACGGGAGGCAGCAGUGGGGAAUUUUGGACAAUGGGGGCAACCCUGAUCCAGCCAUGCCGCGUGAGUGAAGAAGGCCUUCGGGUUGUAAAGCUCUUUCAGCCGGAACGAAACGGUUACGAUUAAUACCCGUAACUACUGACGGUACCGGAAGAAGAAGCACCGGCUAACUACGUGCCGGCAGCCGCGGUAAUACGUAGGGUGCGAGCGUUAAUCGGAAUUACUGGGCGUAAAGCGUGCGCAGGUGGUUUUGUAAGUCAGAUGUGAAAUCCCCGGGCUUAACCUGGGAACU
rnacentral:rRNA from 1 species